rnacentral:misc_RNA from 1 species
AACCAAGUCCAGCUGCAGCUAAGG